GCCCAAAUCCUAAGUUUACCUAAUUAAAUUGUAACACAAUUACACUAUUACACAAAACCCUAGUCAGUCGCCCCCUCAUCCCAAUCUCUCUCUCUCGACUGACCGAUGAAGCCACGGUGGCACUCGGCUGCUACUCCUUCCGGCGAAAGUCCGACGAGCAACGGGGGUGGCUUUCACCCCAUUUCCUUCGUCCCUCAUCUUCGACGUUGCGCACACAGUAACACAAAGGGAAAACGCACACAACUCCUACUACUCACUCAGCCGAUCCGGCGAGCCACAGCCUGUCGGCCACUCCUGCUGCUACUCAGCCUGUCAGCCACGCCCUAGGUUUCCGGUACCGGUCUUCCUCUUUUUCCUUUGCCAAUUUCCGAUACUCCAUCGCCGAGACCGGUCUCCCUCUUUUCUCUUCGCCAAUUUUCGUUGAUAAUGGCAUCCUCCCCUCCUGAAGUCUCCUCUGCAAUGCCCAAUGCAGUAACAUCUCAAAAUUCAAUUGACGAUCAACAUUCAAUAGACGAUCAUAUGGCUACAAAUACAUAAUCAAAUGUCAAUGACAAUACUGACAUUCAAGGUGGAAGUGGUCCAAGUGGAGAUGGUGAAACAGGUGGAAGUAGAGAUGGUGAAACUGGUGGAGAAGAAGAUGAUUUGCGCUUUCAGCCGAAGAAAAGACAUGAUGAAACGAAAAACUUUACCACAUAAUAAUCAUGAAAUAAGAACAGGAUUUAGACCUGAGUGUCUCAGAUUCAGACAAACAAGAAUAUUUUAGAGAAGAACGGAACUUGCAGAACACUUCAUACUUUUUAUUUCUAAAAUUCCAUCCCUUUUACAAAGAGACACAUGAGGUAUUUAUAGAAGUUACAAGGGCAAAGGAUAAAUUAGACUUUUCUAUUCUUCACGUACUCCUCAUGCAUAGAUGUUGAUCGACGUCUUUGUCUUCUGAAAUUCGUCCUUUAUCAACUAACUUGCAGCUUUUCA